rnacentral:lncRNA from 1 species
UAUAUUAUUUUUUAAACUAUUUGGUUAAUUUUAGUUGAUUUAAAUUGUUGGAAUAUAAUAUAGAUAGCUAAUUUAAAAAAUUUUAAAGUUUGGAUGCCAAAUGUGAAAUUUUUAAAACUUCCGUGGAUAUCAGAUUAGGAUGGAGAUGGAAUUUUGGAGGGCGUUUGUUUGGAGGACAGGGAGGGGGAUAAGGGGCUAUUCCUUCGUAUUUCCAAACACGAAAAAAAUAAGGGGCUGAGAUUUCUAUCCCAUCGGGUGGGAUAAGGUGGGAUAGCAACCCCACCUUUUGUGUGGGAAUAGAUGUGAGAAUAGUUGUUCUCACUCCUAUUUACUUUUUAAAAAAAUUUUAAAUUUAAAAUUUUAAAUUGAAUUUUAAAAUUUAAAAUUUAAAAUUUUAAUUUUAUAUUUUAAAAUUUAGAUUUAAUUUUAAAAUUUAAAAUUUAAAAUUUAGAACUUUGAAUUUUCAAAUUUGAGAUUUAAAAAUUUAAAUUUAAAUUUUAAAAUUUUAAAAUUAUAUAUUUAAAUUUAAAAAAUUAAACAUGAAAUUAAAAUUUUAAAUUCAAAUAUAAUAUAAGGGACAAUAUCAUUAUUUUCUAUUUAUAACUACCCACUAUUUUUCUUAUUCCAUCUUAUCUAUCAAAACACUAUUCAUUUUAUUCCCAGAGCAACUCAAUUUGCAUCCGAAUGUAAAAUUAGUCUAUUCUAGACUUAUAUCUAUCACUGCAAUAGGCAGUUCUUAUUUAUGCCCGAACCAAACGAAGCCUUAGCGAAUUUUUAGCAGAUUGGAGCAGAUUCGAGACUGAUUCAUUUUUUUCUUUAAUUUUAGCUCUCACUUGCUAUCCUAUUCAGAAGGGAUUAGUGUCCCCACCGAUCCGAAUCUAUUUGUAUCUUCAGGCAUAUAGAUUAAUUUGAUUAGUCCGUGCACAUCAGUUAAAGUACUACAUAGUUUGACAUCCACAAUCUCAGCUGCCUAAGAAUUUGAUCGUUGAUAUCCAAGGUGUAAAUUCAAAGCCUAGCUGCGUCGUAUUCCUAUUCUGUUUAUUUUUAAAUAUUCUGAAUUAAAGUUUAUGCCCUUUUUUUUUUCUUUUUUUUUUUUUUCUCAUGUGACAGUUGUAUGCCACAGUAGAGAGGGAGCACGGGGAGUGUACGUGGCAACAACAUCUAAAAAGAUCAAAACCCAGGCAUAGUUUAAUAGAUAGAUUACAUUACAUAGAUUAAACAAAUAAUAAUUAAAAAAAAGAGAAGUAUAAAUGUGGGGAGGAUGUUGGGAUUUAAAUGUUAAUAAUAAUAACACCACUAGAGAGGAUCCGUGCACGUGGGAAUGUCCCUGCGCGGGGAUAGAGAAAAUAAUUCCUGCACCAGGUGUGUUUUACAUUCCACAUGUAAUAUUGGAUUAAUUGUGUACAGGUCUUUAUAAAUAUAAUGAAUUAUAAAUAUAUUUCUACAAAAUUUAACUUUUAUAUGUUGUUCCUACAAAAAUACUAAUGUCUUCAAAUGUGUCCUUACCGUUAGAAUCCGUUAGAAAAUUUUAGUUAAUCAUAGGUUAACUGGUUAGUUUAUGAGAUAACUUGAUAUUUUAUCCCUCUUAUAUUAUACUGUUGUAAUUUUUGGAAGGACAUAUUUGUGAUAGCAAAAUUGAUAUUUCAUUUAUUCGCUAUUAAAAUAUAAACAGUUCUCUAACGGUAACAAACCAGAAUGACAUAUUUGAAAGCAUUAAAACUUUUAUAUGAACAAUAUAUGAAAAUUGAACUUUAUAGGAAUAUACUUGCAAUCCACUAUAUUUAUAGAAACCUGUAUGGAUUUAACCCUACAAUAAUUAGUAAUUAAUA